GUGCCAGCAGCCGCGGUAAAACGUAGGAGGCAAGCGUUAUCCGGAGUUACUGGGCGUAAAGCGCGUGUAGGCGGUUGAGCAGGUCAGGUGUGAAAGCUCCCAGGCUAAACCGGGAGAGGUCACUUGAAACCGCUCGGCUAGAGUACGAUAGAGGGGUGUAGAAUUCCGGGUGUAGUGGUGAAAUGCGCAGAUAUCCGGAGGAAUACCAGUGGCGAAGGCGGCACCCUAGGUCGAAACUGACGCUGAGACGCGAAAGCAUGGGGAGCGAACGGGAUUAGAGACCCCGGUAGUCCAUGCCGUAAACGAUGCAUACUGACUGUUCGUGACGGGAAACCGUUGGGAGUGGUGAAGCAAACGCGAUAAGUAUGCCGCCUGAGGAGUACGGUCGCAAGGCUAAAACUCAAAUGAAUUGACGG
rnacentral:rRNA from 1 species